rnacentral:lncRNA from 13 species
CAAUCCAAUUGAGAAUCUGUGGUAUGACUUAAAGACUGCUGUUCACCAGCAGAACCCAUCAAAAUUGAAGGAGCUGAAGUAGUUUUGCCUUGAGGAAUGGGCAAAAAACCCAGUGGCUAGAUAUGCCAAGCUUAUAGAGAUGUACCCCAAGAGACCUGCAGCUGUAAUUGCUGCAAAAGGUGGCUCUACAAAGUAUUGACUUUUUUUGUCUUAUUUCUUGCUUUUUUCACAAUGAAAAAUAUUUAGCAUCUUCUAAGUAUGUUGUGUAAAUCAAAUGAUACAAACCACGAUUUUUUAAAAUUUUAAUUCCAGGUUGUAAGGCAACAAAAUGCCAAAGGGGUGAAUACUUUCACAAGCCACUGUAUUGCGCUACACUGUACAUGUAGAAUUGUGAGAAUCGCAACUAAGUAUCAGCACCUAAGUAUGUUGGUAAUUUGGUAUGGUGAUAAUAUGGUAUGGUGAGGUCCCUCAGUAUGGUGAUAAUAUGGUAUGGUGGUAAUAUGGUAUGGUGAGGUCCUUCAGUUUGGUGGUAAUAUGGUAUGGUGAGGUCCCUCAGUAUGGUGAUAAUAUGGUAAGGUGAUAAUAUAGUAUGGUGAUAAUAUGGUAUGGUGGUAAUAUGGUAUGGUGAGGUCCCUCAGUAUGGUGAUAAUAUGGUGAGGUGAUAAUANNNNNNNNNNNNNNNNNNNNNNNNNNNNNNNNCUGUGAACACGACAGACCCACAGCACUCAUCAAUGGACAUUUGAGUUCACUGCAGACAAACCCACUACUGCCCGACCAGAAGGUGUGUUAGGAGCAAGGUGUGCAAGAAGCAGGAUGCGUGCCUUCAUUUUAACCCUAGCUUAUUGUCACCCACUACUUUCUGGAUCCCUGUACCAUCCCUCCUGCCCUGCCCUGCCCCC